rfam:Schistosoma rodhaini strain Burundi genome assembly, scaffold: SROB_scaffold0024928
GCACUGCAAAGGAGUCCAACAAUAGGACGAAACGGCCGUCCAGUGC